rnacentral:snRNA from 1 species
GGAUGUGAGGGCGAUCUGGCUGUGACCCUGCUCACCCCACUGAUCACUGGGGUUGAGUCAGCUGAUCAGACUGGCUAGGCAGAUGUCCCCUUCCUGGUCCAUGAGCAUCCCUCCCAAAGCUGCAUGCUUGGUCAAAGAGGACGACCUUCCCCACUAGAGGGGGGACCAGUCUUUGGUCAAGAGUAUACAAGUAGCUGCGCUCCUCUGCUAGAGCCUCCAAACAAGCCCUCAAAUCAGUCAAUCCAUCUUUAAAACAAAACAAAACAAAACAAAAAGACACCUCCCCGUCAUUACUUGUGG